AGGCCAUGACUUAGCAUUUCUACUACAAACAUAAACUGUCUUUUCAAAAGUCUUUUUAAACAAAAUAGGUGACUAGCCUAGCACGUGGAUUUCACCACCUUCUCAUCUGCAGUACUACAUAAACAUAUGAUUUCCCACAAGCAUAUAAAAACAUAUUUUAAUAACACUGAACAGUGCUAUCUGGCUGGUAAACUUUCAAGUCAGCAAGCUUAACAUAUGGGCUGUGAAUACGUUAAUGGCUCUAGUUUAACAUUUCUGACUCCUAUCUGGCUUGCACCGGAACACAAGACAGAAUGAAAGAUCUAUGCAACAGCCCUUUGGACCAGUGAAACCUUCAAUACAAGGGGAGUCAACAAGAUGUGGAGCACUCAGGAACAUGGUGCUGUUGAGAAAGAUCUGGGCUCAUUGACCUGCAUUCACAGUAGCUGCAAGGAAGAUGAUGCUGACCAGAGCACUGUGCCAGAGCAAGACACUGACAACAGAGCAAAGACUGACAACCAGGGCACCAGGGACUGUGCUGGGCUAGAGGGUCCCAGCUACCCAUCAGGAGGACGGAGGAGAACUCUACCUGUACCCGCGAUCCCUCCAACAUCUUUCCAAAGGAUGUAAAGUCCAUUUUAAAUGUUCUUCAGUUUCCUUGUCGCAGCAUCCUGGGACCCAGCCUGAAUGAAGGUGAAAAGAUAGUAGCCUUCCAGUUUAAUGAGCUGUGGUAGAGCCUUCCUAAUGUCUCUAACACAUGCCCCUGGAAGACAGAACACCUCUAUGCAGAUGUUAUCUGGGUGGCAAAUGGGAGUCUCAGUGCCUCCCAGCAAGGUGUCCCAAUUACUGAGACUCUCUGCCCUUUUUUGGUGGCACUUGAAUUAAUGCAGUGCCCCAACUGGCCUUGCUUUCUAAGCUUGUUACUUCCUGCAUUCUUGAUGUGCUCCACAGGGCCUGGGUUUGGACCUCUUUCCAGACCAUCGUGGCUUUCCAGCCUGAGAGCUUUGAAUCUAUUAUAUGGGGACGCUGCAGGGGUGGGUGGCACCGUGAGUGUUGGGGGCAGAUGCCUCCUUCUGCUUCAAGCAGAGACCAGAGCCCAGCCCCUUUCCUCUCAUGGAUUGUCAAGCCCUCUGUCCUGAAGUUGAGCAGCUGGAUUGGCUACUUCCCCCUGCAGGGAUUUAGGAGGGUGCUGCUGGUCUGCAGGAGGUGAAUAGUAGAUAUAUAUAGAUAUAAAGGUGUUCAGAUAGAAAAGGAAAAACAGCCAUCUCUGGUGUUUCCUACACAGCAGUGAGAUCAGUGGCCAUUUAGAUCAGAAAGUGGUGGUGCCGUGUGAGCAUGAUCAGAUUUCUGUGAUACAACCAAAGGCAUCAAAACAAACUCAAUCCUGAUGUAAAUUCAUUUAGUGAAAUAAGCAGUUAUGGUAUAAGGAAUUGCUCUCAUUUGUUCUCAAGACUAGAAAACUUAAGGGGCAGACCACGUCUGGUAUCAACUGGAAGAUCACUACCUGUGUUUAUAGAAGAUGUGUUCUAUGCCAAAAAGCUGUAUUCUAUGCUAAAAUGAAAUCUGCAUCCUAUAUUCUAAACAUAGCAAAUGCUGGUAAUACUUUUUCCUCCAAUAACACUGCUUUU
ensembl:lncRNA